GCCGAGAUAGCCAAGGUGGUCACGGCGGGCGCCUGAAGAGCGUCAGAUGCGGGUUCGACUCCUGCUCUCGGCACAA
rnacentral:tRNA from 1 species